rnacentral:rRNA from 1 species
UACAGAGGUCUCGAGCGUUGUUCGGAUUCAUUGGGCGUAAAGGGUGCGUAGGUGGCUAGGUAAGUCGGAUGUGAAAUCCCGGGGCUCAACCCCGGAACUGCAUUCGAUACUGCUUGGCUUGAGUACUGGAGAGGAGAUUGGAAUUCACGGUGUAGCAGUGAAAUGCGUAGAUAUCGUGAGGAAGACCAGUGCGGAAGGCGGAUCUCUGGACAGUUACUGACACUGAGGCACGAAGGCCAGG